rnacentral:rRNA from 1 species
AGUCGAGGGGCAGCAUGAUUGAAGCUUGCUUCAAUUGAUGGCGACCGGCGCACGGGUGAGUAACGCGUAUCCAACCUUCCGUACACUCAGGGAUAGCCUUUCGAAAGAAAGAUUAAUACCCGAUGGUAUGAUGAGAUUGCAUGAUAGCAUCAUUAAAGAUUUAUCGGUGUACGAUGGGGAUGCGUUCCAUUAGGUAGUAGGCGGGGUAACGGCCCACCUAGCCGACGAUGGAUAGGGGUUCUGAGAGGAAGGUCCCCCACAUUGGAACUGAGACACGGUCCAAACUCCUACGGGAGGCAGCAGUGAGGAAUAUUGGUCAAUGGACGAGAGUCUGAACCAGCCAAGUAGCGUGAAGGAUGAAGGUCCUACGGAUUGUAAACUUCUUUUAUAAGGGAAUAAAACCUCCCACGUGUGGGAGCUUGUAUGUACCUUAUGAAUAAGCAUCGGCUAAC